rnacentral:misc_RNA from 1 species
UAAAUGCGAUAAGUAAUGUGAAUUGCAGAAUUCAGUGAAUCAUCGAAUCUUUGAACGCACAUUGCGCCCGCCAGUAUUCUGGCGGGCAUGCCUGUCCGAGCGUCAUUUCAACCAUCAAGCCCCCGGGCUUGUGUUGGGGACCUGCGGCUGCCCGCAGGCCCUGAAAACCAGUGGCGGGCUCGCUGUCACACCGAGCGUAGUAGCAAUCACCUCGCUCAGGGCGUGCUGCGGGUUCCGGCCGUUAAACAGCCUUACAAAACCCAAGGUUGACCUCGGAUCAGGUAGGAAGACCCGCUGAACUUAAGC